CUAAAACAGUCGGCCUGGUUGAUUUCUGGGAGGGCCUCUCUCCUUGGCAUGUAGAAGUGGCCUUGGGGAGAAGGCGGGGCCGGCCAGGGUUUCUACUCCUGCCUCAUGGAGACCCGCCUCAGAUGCCCAGCACUGCGACUGCUGCACAGCCACGAGGCUGAGCCGCUGCGGAUGCAUGCGUGACUUAGGAAUGUGUGCUGGUGUGUUUGCCACAGCAACAGGAUGAGGAAAGCACAGCUCCAAGAGAGGUGGGAGCUCAUCCACCUGGGGAAGCAUGAGCAGGAGCAGGAAGGGUCACUCUGGGACUGUGCUCAUGGGACCCUGAGAUGCAGCAGAAAGAGCAGUGUGAGGAGCAAAGUGACGCUGCCUGCAGUAUUGUGUGCAGCGCACAGAGCCUAGUGUCAGUGUUUCUCUGGGGAUUGAAGCAGACAGUUCUGCCAACCAGCAUGGAUGGGGGAAUAGCCUGGGCAGGAUGCAAGCCACAUCGUGCAGAAUAUGAUUCUUAGUGGAAUAGAAAGCCAAGUGCCAUGGAAGCCAAGACACGUGCAGGCUUACCAAGAUGCCCCAAGCCAUUGGAGAGAAUAUGGAGUUUCUCAGUGCACAGAAGAUUCAGAAGAUUUACUUAAACUUAAAGGGCAAGUAGACCUUAAGAAGCUGUAAAACUUGAGGACAUCCAAGAUUCUGACAUAUGAAAUAUAAUUUCUUUGGCACCUAUGGUAUACCAUACACUCUUAGCUACUAAACUUAGCUACUUUUUGAAUGCA
rnacentral:lncRNA from 10 species